UACGUAGGGUGCGAGCGUUAAUCGGAAUUACUGGGCGUAAAGCGUGCGCAGGCGGUGCUGUAAGACCGAUGUGAAAUCCCCGGGCUUAACCUGGGAACUGCAUUGGUGACUGCAGCGCUGGAGUAUGGCAGAGGGGGGUGGAAUUCCACGUGUAGCAGUGAAAUGCGUAGAGAUGUGGAGGAACACCGAUGGCGAAGGCAGCCCCCUGGGCCAAUACUGACGCCUCAUGCACGAAAGCGUGGGGAGCAAACAGG
rnacentral:rRNA from 1 species